rnacentral:rRNA from 1 species
AUGACGACAGCUCGCUCCGUGGCGGUGCUCAUGGCCAUCGUCCUGGUUGCCUCGGUCCUCUCCGGACCACCGGCCUUCGCCGCCGCCGCCAACUGCGACCUCCAGAAGGACCUCUUCAUAACGCAGAGCCUCGGCGAGCUUCAGAGGGACGGCUCGUCGAUGUACAGGGUGACCGUGACGAACCAGUGCGCCGGCGACGAACGCACGGGCAGGCCCUGCGUCAUCUCCAGGGUCCAGCUGCAGUGCGGCAACUUCCGCUCCGUCGUCCCCGUCGACCCCAAGGUGCUCCGCGUCGUUGUCCCCGGCGUCUGCCUCCUCAACGCCGGCCACUCCAUCCCGCAGGACCGCAACGUCUCCUUCGUCUACACCAGCUACCUGCGUGAAAAUCUCUACGUCCUCUCCGCCGUGUGCAGCCUCGGACGUUGA